CCCUCAUUUCAUCCCCCUUUUCCAAAAAUUCCCAAACGAAAGCCCUAGCUCCCUCUCCCUCCUUCUCGGUGAUGACAACGAUUCACCACCGUCGUUCACCGCCGUCGUUCACCAACAGCUCCCUCUUUACCUCCCUCCGUUCCUCCCCCUCUCGUCGCUUUCACUUCUGAACCGAUCGGAUACAUCCUUUCAUUGAGGGAAAUUGAACCCUAGGUAGACAUCGAACGAGCGCCGUCGCCUUUCCCCUUCUUCCUCUGCUAGUCGAUCGCUGGCCGUCGUUCACCGCCGUCCCCAGCCGGCGCCGCGGCUGUGAAGCCGUCUGCCUCGCCGUCCCGGUGCCAUCGGAGCAGAAAAGAGGGGCGUCGCCUCUCGGGGAGACCGCCGUCGAGCUUGACCGCGGUCGGCCGUGCUGCCGUCGUCACGCACCCGGCACGCCUCUGACCUCGCAGGUCUUCCUCAGCACAUGCCGGCGCAUGCCCCAGCUGCCUCACGGCAGCUUUCGUACUCCGUCGUCCAUCGAUCUCGCUCAAGCUAAGUUUCCUAAUCAUUUAUCGUUUGGUGUAGAAUUUCCUUAUCUCUAAGUUAUGCAAUUUUUAGGAAAUCUAGGUUGUAGAUUCAGUAGGAAAAGUUCGACCAUUUGAGUUCGAUUGAAGUGAUUCUACUAUACGCCUACAUUCCAGUUAUGAUUUAGGAUGCCCUCAACAAAAUUUAGGCAGUGGCUUGUGAGGAUAGUGUCGUAUGGUGUUGCUACUGUUUUACUUGCUCAUCUAGUGUUAUUAUCAUGCUUAAGCUCUGAAACGAUGGGGUCUUUGCAUGCUUGUGAUUUACAUGAUGCUAUGAGCUAUAUGAGCCUGAAUUUUGGUUGUUGGAUGAGUUACCUGCUGAAAUCUGCGGUUGGUUUGAACACAGCUCCUAGAUGUGUGAGAGAGGGUUCUCGUUGGUGUGGAGAGGGUCCUUAAAUAGGCAAAGUGUGUGCUUAUGAGGGGUUUAAAUGGGGGCUGAUUCAUUGUUCUCCUGCACUGUACAUCUCUUGUCCUUGGCCCCCGGUGCAGCUUUCUAUUGAGAACGUUUUGGUGUUAAUACUGAAAUACCGCUCUUACCGUAUCGAAAAAAUACCAAAAAUACCGGAUUUUCGGUAUACCGCAAUUUUCGGUAAGGUAUCAUACCUUACCGAUUUAUUUCGGUACGGUAACGGUAUGAAUUUUCAUAUACCGAGGUAUACUGGGGUGUACCGAAAAUACGGUAUAUACCGUAAUUUUAAGUAUAUACCGAAAAUAUGGUAUAUACCGUAAUUUUAAGUAUAUACUGAUAUCAAUAUAUGCCAAAUUAUAUCAAGUAAAUUCAUACUUUUACCAAACAAAUAAAUAUUUACAUGUAGAAAUCAAAUCUUGCCUCAUUAUAGUUGUCGGGUAAUCAUGUAAAUAUAAAAUCAAAUAAACUCAAUUAGGAAAACUUGAUAUCGUUGAAUCAAUUAGUUUAAAACAAAUAUAAGAUUUUAGUUAAAUUAGUUCCAAACAAAUAUCGUUGAACGUUAUGUGAUUGCGUGGAGUUUAAUUGUUGCAGUUUUUUUAUUGAAUAUGUUUGAGUUUGAUUAAAUUUCAUGUUUUCUAAGUAUUUUAGAAAUUUUAUUUUCAUUUGUGUUUGUAUUUAGAAUUAUUUACAAAAUAAUGAUAUUUUGGUAUGUCGUAUUGUAGUCCGAUAUAUCGUAAAACUCUGGUAUACCGCAAAAGUACGGUAUACCGAAUUUAGAUAUGACAUACUGAAAAUAAGGUAUGGCAUCGAUAUUGAAAUUUGUCAUACCGAAAAUAAGGUAUACCGAUGUUCGAUAUACCGAAAAUUUUGGUAAGGUAAAGGUAUGAUUUUUUUUCAUAUCGAAUUUUCGGUAAGGUAUACAGUAUGAUGGUUUCGGUAAGGUAUGAUACCUUACCGAAAAUUGGAGUACUUAGGUACUUGCUAAUUAAUUCCAUCUUGUUCCCACCUGAAAUACCUAGUACUUGGCUAAUAAUGAGGCUUGUUUGUUGUGGCAGGUGCACAAGAAGGGGCAGAGGUAUGAUUUGUCGGUUGUUGCAGCUGGAGAGGCUGCCUUGUUUGUCUCGUGGCAGCCUUUGCCAGGCUAGGGAGUGCAGGAGUUGCAGGGCUGACCUUGCCCUCUUUAGGCAAGGCUCAUCCUCAUUAUUGAGAAGGGGCAAGGGAACUGACCACCCUCGGCUGAUCCGGGCCCAACAGUCCAUCAAAAAUCAUGCCGAAAUCCGGGCCUAACAGAGAGGCCCGAAGUUGGCGUUCCUAGCGUUGUAAUAGGAUAGGGUCCUUUUUUUGUUUUGCUCUUCUCCUUUUCUUUCUCGAACAAGUGUAGCUGAACGUUUUAGUUAGGGAAAAAUUCACGUUGUUUUCACCUCGACAUUCUUGUGUAUUAUUUUCCUCUAUUUUUAUUAUUAUAUAUUUUUGUAAGCUAAGACAUAGCUCGGAAUCUAAUACGUUGUAUUUUAUUUAAUUAAGGAAUAAACGAACGCAUAUUCAUUCUA